AUGAUCCCCGUGGGAGAGAUCGGCCCCUGACGAUUGGGCCGGCGCCGAAGGAGCAACCGCCCCUGGAAACUCUCAGGCAAAAGGACCGCGGGGGGAUG
rnacentral:ncRNA from 2 species